CCGACUUUAGCUCAGUUGGAAGAGCAUCAGACUGUAAUUGGUUACCUUAGCCGGGGCUGCGUAAUCUGGGUGUCGUCUGUUCGAACCAGACAAGUCGGA